AUUUAAUUUAUACAAAAUAUUAAUACUCGUGCUGUAUAGCACGGGUUAUGAUCUAGUUGUUCUAAUUAGGCAAUGCUUAGUCUAUGUUUAACCGUUAGACAGACUCAUAUAAAUAUUGUUACCAUCGUUUAAAUAGUUCUAACAC
rnacentral:sRNA from 1 species